rnacentral:snoRNA from 1 species
AUCUUUAAUAAACAAGGGUAUCCUAGUGGCCCACUGAGCCCUCAAGAAGGGCAGAGUUAAAACACCGCUUUUGGGUGAAGUGGCAAUAGGUGUUGUUUGCUUCAAUCGGUGUUGUGACAUGA